rnacentral:rRNA from 1 species
AGAGUUUGAUCAUGGCUCAGGAUGAACGCUGGCGGUAUGCUUAACACAUGCAAGUCGAACGGAGUACUUCGGUACUUAGUGGCGGACGGGUGAGUAACGCGUGAGAAUCUGCCUUCAGGUCGGGGACAACCACUGGAAACGGUGGCUAAUACCCGAUGUGCGCAACGUGAAAGAUUUAUCGCCUGAAGAGGAGCUCGCGUCUGAUUAGCUAGUUGGUGGGGUAAAAGCUCACCAAGGCGACGAUCAGUAGCUGGUCUGAGAGGAUGAUCAGCCACACUGGGACUGAGACACGGCCCAGACUCCUACGGGAGGCAGCAGUGGGGAAUUUUCCGCAAUGGGCGAAAGCCUGACGGAGCAAGACCGCGUGAGGGAGGAAGGCUCUUGGGUUGUAAACCUCUUUUCUCAGGGAAGAACAAAAUGACGGUACCUGAGGAAUCAGCCUCGGCUAACUCCGUGCCAGCAGCCGCGGUAAUACGGAGGAGGCAAGCGUUAUCCGGAAUUAUUGGGCGUAAAGCGUCCGCAGGUGGCACUUCAAGUCUGUCGUCAAAGACUGGGGCUUAACCCUGGAAAGGCGGUGGAAACUGAAGCGCUAGAGUGUGGUAGGGGUAGAGGGAAUUCCCGGUGUAGCGGUGAAAUGCGUAGAGAUCGGGAAGAACAUCGGUGGCGAAAGCGCUCUACUGGACCACAACUGACACUCAGGGACGAAAGCUAGGGGAGCGAAUGGGAUUAGAUACCCCAGUAGUCC